GGUGAAUUGGUGUAGUGGUAGCAUGCGGCCUUGUGGAUAUUCUACAGUGCGGCCUCGACGGCGGUUCGAUUCCGUCAUUCGCCA